GAUGAACGCUAGCGGCAGGCCUAACACAUGCAAGUCGAGGGGCAUCGCGGUGCAGCAAUGCACUGGCGGCGACCGGCGUACGGGUGCGUAACGCGUAUGCAACCUGCCCCGCACCGGGGGAUAGCCCGCCGAAAGGCGGAUUAAUACCCCAUGGUCCCGGGGGCCCGCAUGGGCAUCCGGGUAAAGCCUUGGCGGUGCGGGAUGGGCAUGCGUGCCAUUAGCUGGCUGGUGGGGUAACGGCCCACCAGGGCAACGAUGGCUAGGGGGUCUGAGAGGAUGGUCCCCCACACUGGUACUGAGACACGGACCAGACUCCUACGGGAGGCAGCAGUGAGGAAUAUUGGUCAAUGGGCGGAAGCCUGAACCAGCCAUGCCGCGUGCGGGAUGAAGGCCCUACGGGUUGUAAACUGCUUUUACCCGGGAAGAACCGCCCCUGCGGGGGCGUUGCCGGUACCGGGGAAAAGGAUCGGCUAACUCCGUG
rnacentral:rRNA from 1 species